rnacentral:lncRNA from 1 species
GUGUCCUUUCUUUUCUUCUUUUUGUUUGGGAUACCCUAAAUCAAUAUCUGUCAAAAUAUGGAGGAGGCUAAUGCCUAGUUAUGUGCUAAGUUAACUCAAUUAGGAAUCUAUACGAUGGUUUGGAGGUGCGAGGACAUAUAGUAUGUACCUUUCUGGCGAUGUCGAGGCAUUACUGGAGCGCCGGAAUGAUGCAGUCGAAUUAGCAUUUCCUCUUUGUUGCGAAAUGGAGGAGACACUUAAAAACUAGUAGUACGUUAUUUAUUAUUUGUAUCUCAUUUGUCCGAUUCCUUUCCACCCAAGAAAAAAUAAAAUUAGAAGUGGGUAAAGAAUCUGUUUUGGUGAUUUGCAUGAAUCCAAAUAAUCCAUAGUGGUGGUGUCGGUU